rnacentral:rRNA from 1 species
GGGCCGGCGCCUGCCUAUACUUGCAAGUCGAGCGCGGGAAGCAACUGAAUCCUUCGGGAGGACGUUUGUGGAACGAGCGGCGGACGGGUGAGUAACACGUGGGCAACCUGCCUGUAAGACUGGGAUAACUCCGGGAAACCGGGGCUAAUACCGGAUAACUCAUCGGAUCGCAUGAUCCGAGGUUGAAAGAUGGCUUCUUGCUAUCUCUUACAGAUGGGCCCGCGGCGCAUUAUCUAUUUGGUGAGGUAACGGCUCACCAAGGCCACGAUGCGUAGCCGACCUGAGAGGGUGAUCGGCCACACUGGGACUGAGACACGGCCCACACUCCUACGGGAGGCAGCAGUAGGGAAUCAUCCGCAAUGGACGAAAGUCUGACGGUGCAACGCCGCGUGAGUGAGGAAGGCCUUCGGGUCGUAAAACUCUGUUGUUAGGGAAAAACAAGUUCCGUUCGAAUAGGGCGGAGCCUUGACGGUACCUAACCAGAAAGCCCCGGCUAACUACGUGCCAGCACCGCCGGGUAAUAUA